rnacentral:rRNA from 1 species
GAUGAACGCUGGCGGCGUGCCUAAUACAUGCAAGUCGAGCGAAGCGGGGACAGGUGAGUAACACGUGGAUAACCUCCUAUAAGACUGGGAUAACUCCGGGAAACCGGAGCUAAACCGGAUACUUCUAGCUUGAUACGCGCUGGAUUAGCUAGUUGGUAAGGUAACGGCUUACCAAGGCAACGAUGCGUAGCCGGACUGAGAGGGUGAGCGGCCACACGGGAACGGAGACACGGUCCAGACUCCUACGGGAGGCAGCAGUAGGGAAUCUUGCGCAAUGGGCGAAAGCCUGACGGAGCAACGCCGCGUGAAUGAUGAAGGUCUUCGGAUCGUAAAACUCUGUUAUUGGGGAGGCGGUACCUAAACAGAAAGCCACGGCUAACUACGUGCCAGCCGCCGCGGUAAUAC